rnacentral:rRNA from 1 species
GACGAACGCUGGCGGCGUGCUUAACACAUGCAAGUCGAACGGAAAGGCCCUGCUUUUGUGGGGUGCUCGAGUGGCGAACGGGUGAGUAACACGUGAGUAACCUGCCCUUGACUUUGGGAUAACUUCAGGAAACUGGGGCUAAUACCGGAUAGGAGCUCCUGCUGCAUGGUGGGGGUUGGAUAGUUUCGGCGGUUGGGGAUGGACUCGCGGCUUAUCAGCUUGUUGGUGGGGUAGUGGCUUACCAAGGCUUUGACGGGUAGCCGGCCUGCGAGGGGGACCGGCCACAUUGGGACUGAGAUACGACCCAGACUCCUACGGGAGGCAGCAGUGGGGAAUAUUGCACAAUGGGCGGAAGCCUGAUGCAGCAACGCCGCGUGCGGGAUGACGGCCUUCGGGUUGUAAACCGCUUUCGCCUGUGACGAAGCGUGAGUGACGGUAAUGGGUAAAGAAGCACCGGCUAACUACGUG